UUAGGACUCAGCCCACCUGCACCCAGGUGAUUAAAAAGCUUUAUUGCUCACACAAAGCCUGUUGGUGGUCUCUUUACAUGGAUGCACAAGACACUCUUGACUUUGAUUUUCUGCAGUAUGAAUAUGGUUUCAGACUCAGCCUGCCUGCACCCAGGUGAUUAAAAACUUUAUUGCUCACACAAAGCCUGUUUGGUGGUCUCUUCACAGGGACAUGCAUGAAAUUUGGUGCCGUGACUCAGAUCGGGGGACCUCCUUUGGGAGAUCAAUCCCCUGUCCUCCUGAUCUUUACUCCAUGAGAAAGAUCCACCUACAACCUCAAGUCCUCAGACUGACCAGCCCAAGAAACAUCUCACCAAUUUCAAAUCCGGACCCUACUGAAAAUCAGACUGUUCAACUCACCUGGCAGCCACUCCCAGAGCCCCUGGAACUCUGGCCCAAGGCUCUCUGACUGACUCCUUCCCAGAUCUUCUCAGCUUAGCAGCUGAAGACUGACACUGCCCAAUCGCCUCAGAAGCCUACAGGACCAUCACAGAUGCUCUAGGUAACUCUCACAGUGGAAGGCUCAGCCCGCCUGCACCCAGGUGAAAUAAACAGCCAUGUUGCUCACACAAAGCCUGUUUGGUGGUCUCUUCACACGGAUGUGCAUGAAACUACCUACACCCAUACGGAAGGGAACAAAUCAUGGAAAGUAAUGGAAUGCUACAGCCUAGUCAGUUUUGAGAAAAGGCUAACCAACAACAACAACAACAAAUCAUAGUCAUGCUCAGAUUGCACAUGAACAAAAAAAUGUUGGAGAGAAACCAUUGAAAUAACUCACCGGUCCUCUUGUGUUGCUGCUUAUCUGAUUAUCUGAGGUCAAGGGAACUGAGGACAACAAAGGAAAUUAGGUCUUUCAUAGUUCUCAUUAAAUGCUGGAGGAGUCUGACUACUGCUGAGCUGAGCACUUCAGCGGCUUUGGAAAAGGAAGUGUGGUUACUUAUUUCA
rnacentral:lncRNA from 10 species